CGGCAGCGCUCGCGGGCGGAUGCGUCGCGCUGUGGCGGGCCGAGUGUGGCGACGCAGCUGCUGCUGGUGCUGCCGCCGCCGCCGCCGCCGCCUGCCUGCGUAGCGACGUGUGUGACGCAGCCGCUGUCGAGAACUGCCGCUGGCCGGGACUGAUAACCGUACGAAGUCUCAGCUGUGCUCACAAACGCUGGCUGCUCCGAUAUAUUGACUCCAACGUGCUUUAGUGAGAGAAGGGCUCCGAUUAUAAAAAAUAAGGCGGGGAACGACUGGUCAGUCGGCGGGCGGAAGCUGCGUCCUUGGGCCCGAGAGCCGGCAGACGCGGUGCGGGCGGCCGGCUGCAUUCCUCGGCUGGCGGCGCGGCGCCGCAACUGGGCCAAGGCCGGCCCACAUCUGCGGGUUCAUUGCUACCGACGCCGCCGCCGCCGCCGCCGCCGCCGUCGCAACGGGAACUCGGCCGCC